GGCUGCGGGAGCGGCGGAGAUAGCGGUGGGGGGUGGAGCCGCCGAUUGAAGAAAGAAAGAGGCGGCGAUGCAGAUCGGAGGGCUUGCGGGGGAAGGGAGGUGGCCGGCGCGGUGAAGGCGGCGGUGGCGA